rnacentral:hammerhead_ribozyme from 1 species
AUUCAGAUGACAAGUCCCAAAUAGAACGAAAUGCACAUCCUGAAU